UACGGAGGGUGCGAGCGUUGUCCGGAAUCACUGGGCGUAAAGGGCGCGUAGGCGGCCGAGCAAGGUCGCGGUGAAAGCUCGGGGCUCAACCCCGCGUCGGCCGUGCGAACUGUUUUGCUUGAGCACUGUAGAGGCAGGCGGAAUUCCGGGUGUAGCGGUGGAAUGCGUAGAGAUCCGGAAGAACACCGGUGGCGAAGGCGG
rnacentral:rRNA from 1 species